GACGAACGCUGGGGGCGUGCCUAAUACAUGCAAGUUGAGCGCUGAAGGUUGGUACUUGUACCGACUGGAUGAGCAGCGAACGGGUGAGUAACGCGUGGGGAAUCUGCCUUUGAGCGGGGGACAACAUUUGGAAACGAAUGCUAAUACCGCAUAAAAACUUUAAACACAAGUUUUAAGUUUGAAAGAUGCAAUUGCAUCACUCAAAGAUGAUCCCGCGUUGUAUUAGCUAGUUGGUGAGGUAAAGGCUCACCAAGGCGAUGAUACAUAGCCGACCUGAGAGGGUGAUCGGCCACAUUGGGACUGAGACACGGCCCAAACUCCUACGGGAGGCAGCAGUAGGGAAUCUUCGGCAAUGGACGAAAGUCUGACCGAGCAACGCCGCGUGAGUGAAGAAGGUUUUCGGAUCGUAAAACUCUGUUGGUAGAGAAGAACGUUGGUGAGAGUGGAAAGCUCAUCAAGUGACGGUAACUACCCAGAAAGGGACGGCUAACUACGUG
rnacentral:rRNA from 1 species